rnacentral:rRNA from 1 species
GGAUUCCCCUAGUAACUGCGAGUGAAGCGGGAAAAGCUCAAAUUUAAAAUCUGGCGGUCUUCGGCCGUCCGAGUUGUAAUCUAGAGAAGUGUUAUCCGCGCUGGACCGUGUACAAGUCUCCUGGAAUGGAGCGUCAUAGAGGGUGAGAAUCCCGUCUUUGACACGGACUGCCAGGGCUUUGUGAUGCGCUCUCAAAGAGUCGAGUUGUUUGGGAAUGCAGCUCAAAAUGGGUGGUAAAUUCCAUCUAAAGCUAAAUAUUGGCGAGAGACCGAUAGCGAACAAGUACCGUGAGGGAAAGAUGAAAAGAACUUUGGAAAGAGAGUUAAACAGUACGUGAAAUUGCUGAAAGGGAAACGCUUGAAGUCAGUCGCGUUAGCCGGGGAUCAACCUUGCUUUUGCGGGGCUUCUUUUCCGGUUGAUG